AAAAAAAAAAAAUGUCGGACAUUGAAAAAAGCGAUGAAGAAUCAGAAGACAUUAUUGAUGAUAUAAUUGAAGAGGUCUUCGUUGAAGACAUUGAGGACGAUGUCACCGAACAAAAUGAAAGAUCAGAAAUUUCAAAUACAAAUACAUGCAACGUCCAAAAUGAGACAGUUGUUGCCGAUCUAUUGAAAAUGUGGGAGCUUCCAGAGCUCUGUGAAUUGUUUUACGGUAAAUUAUAACACAUAUUAUAUGUUCUCCUUUACAUUUUCUUUACAUUAUUCUUUAUAAUGAUGGUUUAGAAAGAAACAUCGAUUUAUAUUGCCUGGAGCACAUAACAGUUUCUGACAUAGACCGUUUAAUUCCUGGAGAAUUCAUGGGAUUGCGAAUAAAGUUUAAAGCAAGGUUAACUCAAUGGAGAUCUUUGAAGGUAAGAUCUUUAAAAAAAAGGAAGCAUAUUUUCAAAUAAUAACAUUGAUUAAUAAAUUUAGGACUUACCUCUAAGUUCAAUAUCCGAAAGUCUUACAAUGAAUUCAAGCAAUACUCCCUCUGUAACAACCGACAUAAUGCAAAUACUUCCGAAAACAAACACUGUUUUUCAAUCGGAUUCCAAAUUUACUUCAGUUCAUGAAGAACAACAUUUGAACGUUCUGAAGAUAUUAAAAUCAAAUUCAAGAGGAAAAGUAUUGCUAUCUAAAACAAAACCAUUCAAUUCUUCGGAGAGAAAAGAUCUCAUAUGUUUGAUAGUAGACUUCGCUUUAUUUAACGAAAUUUCGCUUGGUACAAAAGAAAUUAAUUCAUUAGCAGAUCAAGUCAUCAAAAUUUUUCCGUUUGAAGCUAAGGUCUUAAACGAAUUUUAAACUUAAUUAGUUAACUAAUGAAAAUUUCUUAUAGACUUCUUAUUUCAUGGCAAGUGGAAAUGGUAGUAGAGCUAGAGGCCAGCUUUAUUCAACCUAUAACAAUAAAAUUAAAACUUUAAGAAAAAAAGGAGUUUUAUCAAGACGCUCCAAAAAACAGGUUUCUUCAAUAUCGGGAAAUUCAACUUCAUCAUCACCUUCAUCGCCGUCAUGUUUAUCGGAGUUAGAGAACACUCAAAGCUUAAACGCGAAAGAUUGGCUUAAAUACAAUACACAGCCAUUAGAAUUGGUAUUCAUGAAAUGGAAAGACUGCUUCAAUAUUAGGAGGUCAGACAUUUUAGAGAAUACCGCAGACAUUUUUGAAGACUGGCCACUUUUCACCCAAUCUUUUGGACUUCAUUUGAUUGAUUUGGACUUCAUUUCUCUUUUUGAUGAAGAAAAGUCUUUAAAUUUAAAGAAAAACUGGGCAAAAUUUCAAACGGCUUUUUUGACAAGUGCAUUCGAUCAAGCUGGGACCGCAAGCAAGGCCGUGCAGCUGUUAUUGAAUGAAAUUGAAAAUUCUGAUAAUCAAGGUAUUAAUGAUAUAAAAAAGCUUACUUUUAUGAA